UGAGUGCACUUUGUAUGCCCGGCAUGUGUGCACCCAGGAGGUCCUCCUGAGCGGUGUUUAGACGUACCGGGAAAAUCUUAUCUGAUUCAGGAUCAAUUCAUCGGUUACACUCCCCUGUCACCAGUGAUUCUUUUUUGCUGACAUUCUGAAAAAGUAUUGUGUAGUCCCUGUGGCAAGAACAUGAAAGAUAAAGGAGAAACUAUAAACAGAAGAAAUUAUCAACAAAAUAAGAUUUACAGAGGUCAACAAAGCCUAAAUGGUCAGACAUCUCGAUUUUCAUGGUCAUCAUUUACAGAUCAAUACCGAACGGAAAACUUAAAGCUGGUAUUUUUCUCCAUAGUGUGACUUUUUUAUUAAUUUGAAAUGGAACAUGUUUUUUCCUACAUUUAUUUGGAAGAAGAAAUUUCAACAUGAUGACUAUAAACAAAAAGGAGUCAUAUCAUCACAAUCAUUGAUGCACAAGAACUUGAUCAUAUAAAUACAACAAUGUAAUUAUCAAUUGAAAGAUGGAACGAAUGAACUAGAUAUUAGAAUGUUG